GCCUUUACAGCCUCGCAGGUCGAGCAGCGAGAUGCAAGAGAGACGGCGGAGAUACUUCAGACACGUGUCUGUUAGCUUACUGCAACCUGGGAGAAUAAAACACACACACUUACAUUCUGCUCAAGUUGAGUUCUGCGAGUGUGUUUCGGGUGGACGAGCCCACAGCAGUAAGCAGGUUGAUGGAGUUGUCGGUGAGGCUGUUGCAGUGGGAAAGAUCCAGUUUUGUUAAAUGGGGCAUAUGACGGAUGACCAGACGGAGAGUGGAGUCACUGAUGUCCAGGCCUGCUAGUCGCAAACACUGCAUGGUUCUCAACUGGCUGCGAUUGUCACAGCCUGGACCAGAGGCAUCAUUGAUCAAGAAAGGGGAAAGAAAACAAAUGCAGAGAAGUUUGAUAAGAAAAGGGUAAAACAGAAGUAAAGUAAGGAGAAAGUAGGGGAAAAUAACACAAAUUAAUUUAAUUACUGCAUAAACUAAAAGCUGACUAUAUGCAUAUUUUCAGCCUGAUUUCUUUGUUUCCUCACCUGGAGGGGUGACUAGAUCCCUGAUUUGAGAGUCUUUGACCCCGUCGGCAUACCGCAGGUCUAGAGAACGGAGAAGAGGGCAACCGGAGGAGCAAAGAGCUGAAAUAGACGACCAGGAGCAACCUGCCAGCAUCAGAUCCUUAAGCCCUGCAAAAUGGAUUUAAACAAAGCAUUUAAUGCCAUAAAUAUGUUGGUAUAAAAGAAAUGUACUUUCUGAUUGCAUUAGCUUAUAUAAUUCAUUGUUUAUUAAGGGUGUAGUAUUUAUUUACAAGCAGAAUAUUGGCCAUUUCGAAAUUUAAUAAAAUUCAUGUUGAAGUAA